CUACGGGAGGCACCAGUGAGGAAUAUUGCACAAUGGGCGCAAGCCUGAUGCAGCCAUGCCGCGUGUAUGAAGAAGGCCUUCGGGUUGUAAAGUACUUUCAGCGGGGAGGAAGGGAGUAAAGUUAAUACCUUUGCUCAUUGACGUUACCCGCAGAAGAAGCACCGGCUAACUCCGUGCCAGCAGCCGCGGUAAUACGGAGGGUGCAAGCGUUAAUCGGAAUUACUGGGCGUAAAGCGCACGCAGGCGGUUUGUUAAGUCAGAUGUGAAAGCCCCGGGCUCAACCUGGGAACUGCAUCUGAUACUGGCAAGCUUGAGUCUCGUAGAGGGGGGUAGAAUUCCAGGUGUAGCGGUGAAAUGCGUAGAGAUCUGGAGGAAUACCGGUGGCGAAGGCGGCCCCCUGGACGAAGACUGACGCUCAGGUGCGAAAGCGUGGGGAGCAAACAGGAUUAGAUACCCUUGUAGUC
rnacentral:rRNA from 1 species